GUGCCAGCAGCCGCGGUAAUACGGAGAGGGCUAGCGUUAUUCGGAAUUAUUGGGCGUAAAGGGCGCGUAGGCUGGUUAAUAAGUUAAAAGUGAAAUCCCGAGGCUUAACCUUGGAAUUGCUUUUAAAACUAUUAAUCUAGAGAUUGAAAGAGGAUAGAGGAAUUCCUGAUGUAGAGGUAAAAUUCGUAAAUAUUAGGAGGAACACCAGUGGCGAAGGCGUCUAUCUGGUUCAAAUCUGACGCUGAAGCGCGAAGGCGUGGGGAGCAAACAGGAUUAGAUACCCUGGUAGUCCACGCUGUAAACGAUGAAUGUUAAAUAUGGGGAGUUUACUUUCUGUAUUACAGCUAACGCGUUAAACAUUCCGCCUGGGGACUACGGUCGCAAGAUUAAAACUCAAAGGAAUUGACGG
rnacentral:rRNA from 1 species